GCAUUUUAAUUAUACAAAGGUAGGAUAUUGCUCUUCAUGCUUUUUGUGGGCUUAAUAUUGCAUUUUAUGUUAAUAAAAACGCAUACCAGUAUUGAAAAAUAUUCAUCAAACCUGAAUUGCAUUCCAUGCCUGCUAGACGCACGGAUCGAUGACGAUGAGUAGGAUGAGAAGGGAUUUAUUGUGUACUCCGGGGCGCGCGCUGGAUCGGGUCCUCCUUUGCCGCAUCUAGGCUCAACU
rnacentral:lncRNA from 1 species